rnacentral:rRNA from 1 species
CGAACGCUGGCGGCGUGGAUAAGACAUGCAAGUCGAACGGGACAGUUCUGGUAGUAAUAUUAGGAUUGUUCAGUGGCGAACGGGUGCGUAACACGUGGACAACAUUCCGGGAAGCGGGGGAUAGCCCAGGGAAACUUGGAUUAAUACCGCAUGUGGAUAAGUGAGGCAUCUCACGAAGUCUAAAGGUGGGGACCGUAAGGCCUGCCACUUCCCGAUUGGUCCGCGGCCUAUCAGCUAGUUGGUGAGGUAAAGGCUCACCAAGGCUACGACGGGUAGCUGGUCUUAGAGGACGACCAGCCACACUGGGACUGAGACACGGCCCAGACACCUACGGGUGGCAGCAGUCGAGAAUCUUUCACAAUGGGGGAAACCCUGAUGGAGCGACGCCGCGUGGAGGAUAAGGUCUUCGGAUUGUAAACUCCUGUCAUGCGAGAGCAAGGUUGUUAGUUAAUAGUUAGGCAACUUGAUAGUACCGCAAGAGGAAGCACCGGCUAACUACGUGCCAGCAGCCGCGGUAAUACGUAGGGUGCGAG